CGUUUUAUCAAAUUGGAUCGCAUCGCAACACUGCAUCAGUCGAUUAGUGAGUUUGUGAAAGAGAAAAAUUCGGAUUUUAUUACAUCUUUAUACCGGUAUCCUGUUUGAUAUUGUAUUUGUAAAGUAGAUCAUAAUUCUCAUAAACAUGCUUUAUAUUUGCACAGACCUCAUGUGAAUUUUAUACAGCAAUGUACUCAGGUAGCGAAUCUACUGAUUCUCAAAAAUAUACAAAAUGGGCAAUGAAUCCUGCUGCCUAUCAAAAUGCUUCCAACGACCAGGUCGAUUGGGCUGCUUUGGCUCAGCAAUGGAUCAUUAUGAAGGAGGCUGGGCCCCCUCCUAUACCAGGGGACCGCAAGUCAGAAAGGCAAAAACCGCAAGACCCUGAACCUCAAGAGGGAGGAGAAGCAGAAAUGGAAGUAGAAACAGAAAAAGAUGACUCAACCAGUUGGAAUCCCUCACCAGAAGCCCCUCCAGCCCCAGGGGCUGAAGCUUGGACAAAUUGGAAUCCUCAAAGUGGACCCAACUGGUACUCAACAAACAGUUGGAACCCACCUGCACCAACUGCUGUACCUCCUCCUCCUAUUCUGUCUGCUCCAUUAGCUCCCAUAAAGACCCCAUUGUUACCUACACCAACUACUGGCUUUACAGGACCACCUUCAGAUGCUGCUAAUGACAAUGCUAUCCCAUAUGGAAGUUAUAAUAGUGCUGUACCUCCCCCCACUAAAUUUAACAAUACACAACCAGCCUUUUGGACUGGCAUGGCUAUGGGUAAAAUUACUCAUGCUGAAAUCAAACCACAUAAUAAAAGAUACAGCAAGGUACAAGUUAAUGUACCCACAAAGGUGACAAUAAUCUCCCCAGCGCCAGGGACUCCAGUAGCACCACUGGCAGCAUCUACAGCAACCACAGAGGCUGAAACUGCCCCAAGUCUUCCAACAUUAGAUGCUAAUAAAAGAAAACAGUUGCCUGCUUGGAUAAGAGAAGGAUUGGAAAAAAUGGAAAAAGAUAAGCUAAAGCAAAUUGAACGCGAAAAAGAAAAGAUAGCAAUGGAUGAGCUGACUGAGAAACUAAAAGUACAAGAGCAAGAAAAAAUGGAAAUUCUUAAAACUACCAUUAAAGAAAAAAACAUUUUGAAUUUAAAAAAGAGUCGUUUUGACAGUGAUAAUGAGAAUAUUUCUGGAGUAGAGGAAGAGGAGGAGGAUGAAGAGGAAGUGACGAUAAAGAAGAAAACAACUUCACCUCCUGCGAUACCUCUUACUCAAGAUGAGUUGAUUUUACAUGUGCGUAAAUCCAUGACUGAGAUUCUUCUAACAGUGACGAACAGUAUGAUUAAAGACGUAUGCAAAGAGGAACGUCAACGGUUUAUGACAAAACGCAGAGCAUCGGAUCAGCUAGGAUCUGCACCCAGUGGUGCCAUGAUAAGUCAUAAACUUGAAGCCUUAGGAUUAUCACAGCAACAUGCCUUAGGUUUGGGUGCUUAUGGGGAGGAGUCUUCAACCGGCGACGAUACCGACCAAGAAGAUCAAAGAGUCAAUCAGUCUGAGUCCGACUCCAGGCUUAGAGAAUCCAUAAGAAGGCGUCAAGUCGCCUUUACCAAAACCGAGAGAGAGAUCGAAGACCGUCUAGCCGAAGUUGAGAAGACUAAAAGGGGAAGAAGUCUUAGCGGUAGUUCCCGUUCUUCCAGCCGGGAAUCGAAAGAUAAAGAAUCACAGAAACACGCACAAAAUCGUCAAGUCAUAAACCGAGCCCCAAACGAAAAGUUAGCAUGGAAAACCGAAGUUCGACCGACAGCUCGUCGAAAACUGGCAAUUCUCGACGUAGAUCACGGAGCUCAAGUAGUUCGGAAUCUCGAAGAAAAUCGAAUAAUUCAAGCCGAUCGAGAAGUGAUUCUCGGUCACGCAGAUCGUAUUCGAAAUCGUCGAAACGCAGGUCAAGAUCCGUGAGUACUAAUCGAAGUUCCAAAAGGGCGCGAUCAAUUGAAAGUUAUAGAAGAGAUAAACGAGAGGAUAGCUAUGAAGCAUCAAGAAAAAGGAGCAGACGGUCCAGAUCAGAUUCCUAUUACUCGAAACGUUCGCGACGUUCUAGAUCACGUUCGCGAUCUUCAUACUCCUCACGUAAAUCCUCAAAACGUUACCGUCAGUCCUCACGGCGGUCCAGAACGCGUAGCAGAUCCCGCGAAAGAAAAUAC
rnacentral:misc_RNA from 1 species